GGUGCGUACCGGGCCCCUCUGGCGAGAAUGUCUCGUGAUGUCGGACGUAUCG
rfam:Sphingomonas wittichii RW1 plasmid pSWIT01, complete sequence.